rnacentral:rRNA from 1 species
UACGUAGGGUGCGAGCGUUAAUCGGAAUUACUGGGCGUAAAGCGUGCGCAGGCGGCUUGGCAAGUCUGAUGUGAAAGCCCCGGGCUCAACCCGGGAACUGCGUUUGAAACUGGCAGGCUAGAGUUUGGCAGAGGGGGGUGGAAUUCCACGUGUAGCAGUGAAAUGCGUAGAGAUGUGGAGGAACACCGAUGGCGAAGGCAGCCCCCUGGGCCAAAACUGACGCUCAGGCACGAAAGCGUGGGGAGCAAACAGG